AACGAACGCUGGCGGCAUGCCUAACACAUGCAAGUCGAACGAGACCUUCGGGCUUAGUGGCGCACGGGUGCGUAACGCGUGGGAACCUGCCCUUAGGUUCGGAAUAACUCCCCGAAAGGGGUGCUAAUACCGGCUAAUGUCUUCGGACCAAAGAUUUAUCGCCUUUGGAUGGGCCCGCGUUGGAUUAGUUAGUUGGUAGGGUAAAAGCCUACCAAGGCGACGAUCCAUAGCUGGUCUGAGAGGAUGAUCAGCCACACUGGGACUGAGACACGGCCCAGACUCCUACGGGAGGCAGCAGUGGGGAAUAUUGGACAAUGGGCGGAGUCCUGAUCCAGCAAUGCCGCGUGAGUGAUGAAGGCCUUAGGGUUGUAAAGCUCUUUUACCCGGGAUGAUAAUGACAGUACCGGGAGAAUAAGCUCCGGCUAACUCCGUG
rnacentral:rRNA from 1 species